UUCCAUUCUUGCAAUGUUGUCGUUGUGCAAAAAUCCUAACAUAUUCUUGAUGCCAUUGAACCUGCGGUAAUAACAAUACCCACAAAAAUAGUUAGGUUUCCCUAAAGAAAAAAACCUCUCUAUUGGAGAGUAGUGGAAGAGUAAGUAUGCAGUUCAAGUUACCCCAAAAAUAACACCAAACCAAACAAUAAUGGUACAGGGCGACCUUCAACACUGCCACA
rnacentral:lncRNA from 1 species